GACGAACGCUGGCGGCGUGCUUAACACAUGCAAGUCGAACGGAGAAUUUUAUUUCGGUAGAAUUCUUAGUGGCGAACGGGUGAGUAACGCGUAGACAACCUGCCUCUUAGAUGGGGACAACAUCGCGAAAGCGGUGCUAAUACCGAAUGAAGUGGAGCUUCCGCAUGGAAGCAUCACCAAAGGUGGCCUCUAUUUAUAAGCUACCACUGAGAGAUGGGUCUGCGUCUGAUUAGCUAGUUGGCGGGGUAAUGGCCCACCAAGGCGACGAUCAGUAGCCGGUCUGAGAGGAUGAACGGCCACAUUGGGACUGAGACACGGCCCAAACUCCUACGGGAGGCAGCAGUGGGGAAUCUUCCGCAAUGGACGAAAGUCUGACGGAGCAACGCCGCGUGAGUGAAGAAGGUUUUCGGAUCGUAAAGCUCUGUUGUUUGAGACGAAUGUGCAGACUUUGAAUAAGGGUUUGUAAUGACGGUAUUAAACGAGAAAGCCACGGCUAACU
rnacentral:rRNA from 1 species